UCAAACUCAGAGAGAGAGAGAGAGAGAGAGCAAGCGAAACCCAAAACCCGCCAAAGCUACCGAACUUCCCAUUCCUACAACGGUAGCUCCAGUAAAAGUGUACGGACCACCCCUGUCCACAGCUGUGUCCAGCUUAUCUCCAUUAACAUGUCCAAGGGCGAGCACAAAAGGCCUGAGUUCCUCAACCUCCAUGUACUUUUACAAUUACAUACACACAAUUCUCUCUCUCUCUCUUCGAUUAAUUAGCUAUAUUAUAUAACCUCUGACUCUCUCUUAUGCAUGGUUGUUACAGCCCUUCGGCUAAGUAUCUUUAUUUUUGGAAAAUCAGUAGUAUUACCCAAAAUUUCAUCAUUUUUCAUUCAUUCUCUUUUCUGGGUUUCUUUCUGUAUAUGUAACUCCAUAUUAUAAAAUAUAAUUUGGGGUGUUUUUGUGCGUGUGUAAUACAGAGUCUCGAAGCAGAAGGGCAGAGCUUCAAGACCUAUUGGCUGCAUACCAAUCCACACACACACACCCAAAAAAAAAAAAGUUUAUUUCUUAAGUAAUAUAAUUUCAAAUUAAUAAGGAACACAAACAUUAGACUAUAAGCCUUUGUAACAUGUCAUUAACUUUUAAUAUGCUGAGACAAUAUUUAUGGAUAUUUUUAUAAAAAGAAAAGUUGCUAUUCAUGGCCUACAUUCAGGAAUAUCCAGCACAAGAAUGUAAUCCAAUUCCUCGGGGCAUGUACAAGAUCUCCAAGCCUGUGUAUUGUUAUGGGUAGCAUGAUAGGAUGUGAAGGCGUUAAUUUCAGUUUAAUAAGGACUCAGAAGUCAGAGUUCUACUUAUGGUUUUCUCGAAUAUUGUUAUUAACAGAGUAGAGGGCAGCUGCAUGCAUUCUUAUCCUUGAUUUAUUGCUUCUUCUGGAUGGGAGCUUUGUUAGGUUGUCAAGAUUGCUGAUUUUCUCAAUCUGGUGUGACUACCGAAACUGGAACAUACUUUUGGAUGGCUUGAGAGGUUAUCGAACACAACAAUAUCUUGCUAUAUCUUCAAAAAUAUAUGGUUGCACAGACUUCAUAUCUAUCAUCUUGUUUUCUGACUGAAAUGCCAGCUCCUGUAUGAGCACUUUACGCCAUUACAAGCAGCAGUUGGUGUGGUUCAGAUGGUAUUCCUCCAUUAAAUGUUUUGAUAUUGUAAAUAAAAUCUUGUUAAUCUUCGUCUACCCCAACAAGAUCUUCUGUUUCUGUCUUCGUUUCUAGGUCUUUUUUGUGUUUGUGUGUGUGCGUGUGUGUGCAUGUGUUUUCCCCUUUUGGUUCAAGUGAAAAUUUUAGUUCAUCAUCACCCACUUUUUCACCAACAAUAUAAUUGCUCUAGCCCCUGAACCUUUGACCACUAAGCGGGUGACACAACUACCUAAUCUCCAUGCCUACAAAGAGGGAUUUAGUCCAUUCCAAUGAAUGAGUAUGCCGAGCAAAUCACAUCUGCACAAAGAACCUGCUGGGUCUGAGGCCUUCAAUUCCGAGUCAUACUCCUCCAAAGCUUGGGGAAUUGCUUGAGAGAUGUUGGCAGCAAGAUCCAUCUUUGAGACCGGAAUUCUCCAAAAUUUUAGAUAUUUUGCGGCACAUGGCCAAGAGGGUUGCAGAUGAGAGAAUGGACCGGCAGAAGAGGAAAUCUCCUUCUAGAAGGGUAUCCGCUAUUGUACAGAGCAUCAAUUGAAGUGGCAACUGGCAAGUGAGAAGCUGUUUAUAACACAUGUAAUGAUGUAAUAAUCUUGUUUGCUGAGUUCCUUUCAUUUUGUAUUUCCUCCAUUUGGUACUUUCUUCUGUUAAUCUAACUAAUUACUA